rnacentral:rRNA from 1 species
GACACCUUAAUCCAACAUCGAGGUCGCAAACCCUUCUUUCAAUGUGAACUCUCCAGAAAGAUUACGCUGUUAUCCCUGUGGUAACUUUUUCCGAUAAUCAACAAUGCUGGAUCACUUGUUAGUAAACCAAAAUUCUACAAAUUAACAGAGAAGCUUUUCAUGUUCCCUAGUCACCCCAACUAAAGAUGUAAGAAUAAAUUUAAAAUCCUCUAUUCUAAUAGAAACAACCCCUUUAUUCCACACUAAAGCUCAACAGGGUCUUCUCGUCCCUCAGCUAAAUCUAAGCCUUUUCACUUAGAAGUUAAUUUUUAAAUAUUCCAGGAGAGACAGCUCAGCCCUCGUCAAACCAUUCAUACCAGCCUCCAAUUAAAAGGCAAGUGAUUGUGCUACCUUUGCACGGUCAGUGUACCGCGGCCGUUU